ensembl:lncRNA
GUCCCACAGUAUCACAGAGAGGUCAGACAGGUGGAGUAGUCCCACAGUAUCACAGAGAGGUCAGACAGGUGGAGUAGUCCCACAGUAUCACAGAGAUCAGACAGGUGGAGUAGUCCCACAGUAUCACAGAGAGGUCAGACAGGUGGAGUAGUCCUACAGUAUUACAGAGAGGUCAGACAGGUGGAGUAGUCCCACAGUAUCACAGAGAUCAGACAGGUAGAGUAGUCCUACAGUAUCACAGUGAGGUCAGACAGGUAGAGUAGUCCUACAGUAUUACAGAGAGGUCAGACAGGUGGAGUAGUCCUACAGUAUCACAGAGAGGUCAGACAGGUGGAGUAGCCCCACAGUAUCACAGACUGGCCCUGAUAACUAGCUAACUAACCUACUAUCUACUAGUCUACUGCCCCUGAUAACUAGCUAACUAACCGACUAUCUACUAGUCUA